rnacentral:rRNA from 1 species
CCGACGGUGAGGGGCGAAAGCUGGGGGAGCAAACCGGAUUAGAUACCCGGGUAGUCCCAGCCGUAAACGAUGUGCGUUAGGUGUAUCGGUGACCACGAGUCACCGAGGUGCCGAAGAGAAAUCGUGAAACGUACCGCCUGGGAAGUACGGUCGCAAGGCUGAAACUUAAAGGAAUUGGCGGGGGAGCACCACAACAGGUGGAGCCUGCGGUUUAAUCGGACUCAACGCCGGGAAACUCACCAGAUAAGACAGCUGAAUGAUAGUCGGGCUGAAGACUCUACUUGACUAGCUGAGAGGAGGUGCAUGGCCGUCGUCAGUUCGUACUGUGAAGCAUCCUGUUUAGUC